rnacentral:rRNA from 1 species
AUACGUAGGGAGCGAGCGUUGUCCGGAAUUACUGGGUGUAAAGGGAGCGUAGGCGGGAGUGCAAGUCAGAUGUGAAAUACAUGGGCUCAACCCAUGGGCUGCAUUUGAAACUGCAUUUCUUGAGUGAAGUAGAGGUAAGCGGAAUUCCUGGUGUAGCGGUGAAAUGCGUAGAUAUCAGGAGGAACACCGGUGGCGAAGGCGGCUUACUGGGCUUUUACUGACGCUGAGGCUCGAAAGCGUGGGGAGCAAACAGGAUUAGAUACCCUGGUAGUCCACGCUGUAAACGAUGAUUACUAGGUGUGGGGGGACUGACCCCUUCCGUGCCGCGGUUAACACAAUAAGUAAUCCACCUGGGGAGUACGGCCGCAAGGUUGAGACUCAAAGGAAUUGACGGGG